UAUAUUUUUAUGAUGAGUCCAUAGUUCAUCUGAUAUGUCUCGGAUGAUUUUUAAUUAUGUCUUUCGCUCCUAUCUGAUUUU
rnacentral:snoRNA from 1 species